CCUACGGGAGGCAGCAGUGGGGAAUAUUGCACAAUGGGCGCAAGCCUGAUGCAGCCAUGCCGCGUGUGUGAAGAAGGCCUUCGGGUUGUAAAGCACUUUCAGCGGGGAGGAAGGCGGUGAGGUUAAUAACCUCAUCGAUUGACGUUACCCGCAGAAGAAGCACCGGCUAACUCCGUGCCAGCAGCCGCGGUAAUACGGAGGGUGCAAGCGUUAAUCGGAAUUACUGGGCGUAGAGCGCACGCAGGCGGUCUGUCAAGUCGGAUGUGAAAUCCCCGGGCUCAACCUGGGAACUGCAUUCGAAACUGGCAGGCUAGAGUCUUGUAGAGGGGGGUAGAAUUCCAGGUGUAGCGGUGAAAUGCGUAGAGAUCUGGAGGAAUACCGGUGGCGAAGGCGGCCCCCUGGACAAAGACUGACGCUCAGGUGCGAAAGCGUGGGGAGCAAACAGGAUUAGAUACCCGAGUAGUC
rnacentral:rRNA from 1 species